AUCGUACCAUGCCAGCUGCAUCUUCAUUAUGAAGCCGAAGAAACAAGACACUCUCCAAGUUCAUACAAGCAGUCUCCUUUCAGCUAUGGCCUAUGUUCCCAUUUGUCCCCUCUGCAAUGGAAUCCGGAACUAUCCUCUCCUAAAAGAAGCUACAAAGGAUCAAGUGCAGAUAUUUGAACGAUUGUUUUCCACUGACCUGUUUCUGACAACCAACGAAAAAUGUUAAAUGUUCUUCUCCAAUGAAUGCAAAGGAUGGAGAACCUGGUGCUUAAGCUCCUUCUCCUCGUCCUCCUAUUACAACUCUCGCUGCUGCUAUCCUGACCAUUCGGCGUCGCAUGUCCAGCAUCCGCCUUCACAAUGCCCAUUCAGUCAUUCUUAUGCAGCCUCCGGCCCGAGAUGAAAGCUUCGACUUCAUAACGCGGAUAUAAUCUGAACCUCAGGAGCCAGCAUAUUCCCUAAUCUUUCAUCGUGCGGCAACAACGAUAACCAAAGUUGCCGGUAUUUUGUGCCACCAGCAACGUCGGGCCUUUUCAAGUUAACGCGUACAAACUAAUUACAAAGCUCCACCAUCAUAUUGUUAUGCAGACCCAUUCUCAUCUGAUCAUUGUAAUAUGAUAUUUCAAGACUUAAUUCUUGUACUAUAGUAUAGCCCUAUCUGACUCUGUUUUCUAUCGGUA